GAGCUCGCCGCGGACUCAAGAUGGCGGCGUGUGGACGUGUACGGAGGAUGUUCCGCUUGUCGGCGGCGCUGCAUCUGCUGCUGCUAUUCGCGGCCGGGGCCGAGAAACUCCCCGGCCAGGGCGUCCACAGCCAGGGCCAGGGUCCCGGGGCCAACUUUGUGUCCUUCGUAGGGCAGGCCGGAGGCGGCGGCCCGGCGGGUCAGCAGCUGCCCCAGCUGCCUCAGUCAUCGCAGCUUCAGCAGCAACAGCAGCAGCAGCAACAGCAACAGCAGCCUCAGCCGCCGCAGCCGCCUUUCCCGGCGGGUGGGCCUCCGGCCCGGCGGGGAGGAGCGGGGGCUGGUGGGGGCUGGAAGCUGGCGGAGGAAGAGUCCUGCAGGGAGGACGUGACCCGCGUGUGCCCUAAGCACACCUGGAGCAACAACCUGGCGGUGCUCGAGUGCCUGCAGGAUGUGAGGGAGCCUGAAAAUGAAAUUUCUUCAGACUGCAAUCAUUUGUUGUGGAAUUAUAAGCUGAACCUAACUACAGAUCCCAAAUUUGAAUCUGUGGCCAGAGAGGUUUGCAAAUCUACUAUAACAGAGAUUAAAGAAUGUGCUGAUGAACCGGUUGGAAAAGGUUACAUGGUUUCCUGCUUGGUGGAUCACCGAGGCAACAUCACUGAGUAUCAGUGUCACCAGUACAUUACCAAGAUGACGGCCAUCAUUUUUAGUGAUUACCGUUUAAUCUGUGGCUUCAUGGAUGACUGCAAAAAUGACAUCAACAUUCUGAAAUGUGGCAGUAUUCGGCUUGGAGAAAAGGAUGCACAUUCACAAGGUGAGGUGGUAUCAUGCUUGGAGAAAGGCCUGGUGAAAGAAGCAGAAGAAAGAGAACCCAAGAUUCAAGUUUCUGAACUCUGCAAGAAAGCCAUUCUCCGGGUGGCUGAGCUGUCAUCGGAUGACUUUCACUUAGACCGGCAUUUAUAUUUUGCUUGCCGAGAUGAUCGGGAGCGUUUUUGUGAAAAUACACAAGCUGGUGAGGGCAGAGUGUAUAAGUGCCUCUUUAACCAUAAAUUUGAAGAAUCCAUGAGUGAAAAGUGUCGAGAAGCACUUACAACCCGCCAAAAGCUGAUUGCCCAGGAUUAUAAAGUCAGUUAUUCAUUGGCCAAAUCCUGUAAAAGUGACUUGAAGAAAUACCGGUGCAAUGUGGAAAACCUUCCGCGAUCGCGUGAAGCCAGGCUCUCCUACUUGUUAAUGUGCCUGGAGUCAGCUGUACACAGAGGGCGACAAGUCAGCAGUGAGUGCCAGGGGGAGAUGCUGGAUUACCGACGCAUGUUGAUGGAAGACUUUUCUCUGAGCCCUGAGAUCAUCCUAAGCUGUCGGGGGGAGAUUGAACACCAUUGUUCCGGAUUACAUCGAAAAGGGCGGACCCUACACUGUCUGAUGAAAGUAGUUCGAGGGGAGAAGGGGAACCUUGGAAUGAACUGCCAGCAGGCGCUUCAAACACUGAUUCAGGAGACUGACCCUGGUGCAGAUUACCGCAUUGAUCGAGCUUUGAAUGAAGCUUGUGAAUCUGUAAUCCAGACAGCCUGCAAACAUAUAAGAUCUGGAGACCCAAUGAUCUUGUCGUGCCUGAUGGAACAUUUAUACACAGAGAAGAUGGUAGAAGACUGUGAACACCGUCUCUUAGAGCUGCAGUAUUUCAUCUCCCGGGAUUGGAAGCUGGACCCUGUCCUGUACCGCAAGUGCCAGGGAGACGCUUCUCGUCUUUGCCACACCCACGGUUGGAAUGAGACCAGUGAAUUUAUGCCUCAGGGAGCUGUGUUCUCUUGUUUAUACAGACACGCCUACCGCACUGAGGAACAGGGAAGGAGGCUCUCACGGGAGUGCCGAGCUGAAGUCCAAAGGAUCCUACACCAGCGUGCCAUGGAUGUCAAGCUGGAUCCUGCCCUCCAGGAUAAGUGCCUGAUUGAUCUGGGAAAAUGGUGCAGUGAGAAAACAGAGACUGGACAGGAGCUGGAGUGCCUUCAGGACCAUCUGGAUGACUUGGUGGUGGAGUGUAGAGAUAUAGUUGGCAACCUCACUGAGUUAGAAUCAGAGGCCGAAAGGGAAUAUGUCUUUAAAAAUUUGCCUUUCAAAGUAUAACGGAGGAGCAGUUCUAUAUUUAUUCUGGGGCUAUCUACUUCAAAUACUAGAAUCGUUUCCAAAAGAUAUUCAAAUAGAAGCCUUGCUGAUGAGAGCCUGUGAGCCCAUAAUUCAGAACUUCUGCCACGAUGUGGCAGAUAACCAGAUAGACUCUGGGGACCUGAUGGAGUGUCUGAUACAGAACAAACACCAGAAGGACAUGAACGAGAAGUGUGCCAUCGGAGUUACCCACUUCCAGCUGGUGCAGAUGAAGGAUUUUCGGUUUUCUUACAAGUUUAAAAUGGCCUGCAAGGAGGACGUGUUGAAGCUUUGCCCAAACAUAAAAAAGAAGGUGGACGUGGUGAUCUGCCUGAGCACGACCGUGCGCAAUGACACUCUGCAGGAAGCCAAGGAGCACAGGGUGUCCCUGAAGUGCCGCAGGCAGCUCCGUGUGGAGGAGCUGGAGAUGACGGAGGACAUCCGCUUGGAGCCAGAUCUAUACGAAGCCUGCAAGAGUGACAUCAAAAACUUCUGUUCCGCUGUGCAAUAUGGCAACGCUCAGAUUAUCGAAUGUCUGAAAGAAAACAAGAAGCAGCUAAGCACCCGCUGCCACCAAAAAGUAUUUAAGCUGCAGGAGACAGAGAUGAUGGACCCAGAGCUAGACUACACCCUCAUGAGGGUCUGCAAGCAGAUGAUAAAGAGGUUCUGUCCGGAAGCAGAUUCUAAAACCAUGUUGCAGUGCUUGAAGCAAAAUAAAAACAGUGAAUUGAUGGAUCCCAAAUGCAAACAGAUGAUAACCAAGCGCCAGAUCACCCAGAACACAGAUUACCGCUUAAACCCCAUGUUAAGAAAAGCCUGUAAAGCUGACAUUCCUAAAUUCUGUCACGGUAUCCUGACUAAGGCCAAGGAUGAUUCAGAAUUAGAAGGACAAGUCAUCUCUUGCCUGAAGCUGAGAUAUGCUGACCAGCGCCUGUCUUCAGACUGUGAAGACCAGAUCCGAAUCAUUAUCCAGGAGUCCGCCCUGGACUACCGCCUGGAUCCUCAGCUCCAGCUGCACUGCUCAGACGAGAUCUCCAGUCUAUGUGCUGAAGAAGCAGCAGCCCAAGAGCAGACAGGUCAGGUGGAGGAGUGCCUCAAGGUCAACCUGCUCAAGAUCAAAACAGAAUUGUGUAAAAAGGAAGUGCUAAACAUGCUGAAGGAAAGCAAAGCAGACAUCUUUGUUGACCCGGUACUUCAUACUGCUUGUGCCCUGGACAUUAAACACCACUGCGCAGCCAUCACCCCUGGCCGCGGGCGUCAAAUGUCCUGUCUCAUGGAAGCACUGGAGGAUAAGCGGGUGAGGUUACAGCCCGAGUGCAAAAAGCGCCUCAAUGACCGGAUUGAGAUGUGGAGUUACGCAGCAAAGGUGGCCCCAGCAGAUGGCUUCUCUGAUCUUGCCAUGCAAGUAAUGACGUCUCCAUCUAAGAACUACAUUCUCUCUGUGAUCAGUGGGAGCAUCUGUAUAUUGUUCCUGAUUGGCCUGAUGUGUGGACGGAUCACCAAGCGAGUGACACGAGAGCUCAAGGACAGGUAGAGCCACCUUGACCACCAAAGGAACUACCUAUCCAGUGCCCAGUUUGUACAGCCCUCUUGUAUAGCAUCCCCACUCACCUCGCUCUUCUCAGAAGUGACACCAACCCCGUGUUAGAGCAUUAGCAGAUGUCCACUGCGUUGUCCCAUCCAGCCUCCACUCGUGUCCAUGGUGUCCUCCUCCUCCUCACCGUGCAGCAGCAGCAGCUGGUCGCUGGGGUUACUGCCUUUGUUUGGCAAACUUGGGUUUACCUGCCUGUAGACAAGUCUCUCUCAUACCAACAGAACUUCCGGUACUUCCAGAACCAACUCACCUGACCUGCAACUCAAAGGCUUUUUUAAGAAAACCACCAAAAAAAAAAAUUUUUUUAAAGAAAAAAAUGUAUAUAGUAACGCAUCUCCUCCAGGCUUGAUUUGGGCAAUGGGGUUAUGUCUUUCAUAUGACUGUGUAAAACAAAGACAGGACUUGGAGGGGAAGCACACCACCCAGUGUGCCAUGACUGAGGUGUCUCGUUCAUCUCUCAGAAGCACCUUGGGGCCUCGCCAGGGCCGUGGUCUUCACCGAGGCGUGGGUGGGCAGCCGUUCCCCAGGCUGUGUGGGGUCCUGCUUUCUUCUGCUGAGACAGUGACGCUUUCCAGUUUCCACCCUAAUCAGCCACUGCUGGUCACAGCCCCACAGCCAUGGGUAUUUCUGUGGUCUCCUCGCUUCAUUGAAGCAAAGCAUGAGCCUUCCUAGACAAGGGCAGCUGGGGAGGGGAAGGGACCGGAAGUUUGUGAAGUUGAACAGUCCAUCCAUCUGCACUGAGAGGCUGGAUCCUGAGUCCCGGGGCAGCAGGAUCCCAGGAACCUUCCUCCUCCAGGGCAGCACAGGACUCAGCCAUGUCUGGACCGGCCCUGCUGAGGCUACAGUCACUCUGGAAGCUCUGCGCUUCAUCAGGAGGCAGGACUGUGGCGGGAGGGGUCCUUGAAGAUGGGUGUGGGGAGCAGUGGGUCAGGAAGUGGGAGCCAGAGGUUUGACUCACUUUGCUUUAUUUUUCAGGCUACAAUACAGGUCAGAGACAAUGGCUUAUAAAGGUUUAGUGUGGUCUCAGGAUGUGACAGGCAGUCCAGCCUGACCUUUCUGCACACUCCAGACAAACUUCCCAGACAAGCUCCUUUGUGCCUCUACGUGGAGAGGGUGUGGAAAGUUAUCACAUUAAAAGAUGGAGGAUUUGCUCUGUUUUUUUUCUUUCUGUCCAUUUGCUGCGUGUACCCACUCUAGUAGGCAUUGGCUAAAUGUUGUAUUUUGGCGAUUCAUCAACCUUUGCAGAAUAUGGGCUUUAUAGAAGCAAUAUUCUUGGCCAUCCCGCCUCAUUCCUCCAGUGUGGAGAUGACAAGUCUGGGUGUGAGAGGGAGGGGUCCGGGCAUCAUGGUUCAGCGUGGCACUCCUUUGGUUGAGUUUGGGGCAUGAGAUCACAGUGGCUGCACAAGAGAGCAGUGUGUACAGUAGGAGAGACAUUUAUGUAAUAUAUAUUUUAUUAACCUGUUAGAUGUCCACAAAGUAUUAUAAAUCACGUGCCUAAAACUGUCCAUGUAGACCAAGGCCUGCCCUCGGCGCCCCCCACUCUUGCCUCUGCUCUGCACAGUCCACGUGCACUGCAGGACCGGAGCGACACAUGUCUUCCCUGAAGGGUGUUCAGUACAAGGCGUGUCAGUUUGUGGAUCAGUUGAUCCAAGUUACUCCUUGUCUAACCUGACUGACAUAUAUUUGAAUACUGUGGUUUUCUUUCUUUUUUUUCUAUUUGCUGCCCUUCCUGGAGGCAGUGGGUUCCAGAAGCCAACUGAUUGUCCCCCUGCCAAGUCACCAAGGGAAGCUGCUAAGCUGCUUAGUCCCCUCGGUCCUGCUUGUAGGGUCUUCCUGAUUGUCAACAGCUGUCUGGGAUGCUUCAGUCUCCUAAAACUGGAAACGCAGGGUGCGAGCAGCACACACUGCCUCCCGCCACUGCCAGCCGGAGUGAGCGGCCCGAGAGUCUCUGCAGGUUCCCCUGGGGGCUGGGGGCCGCUGAGGCCUAAUAUCAAGAGCCAGGAAUGUCAUGUACAUGGAGGUGCCUACGGACGUGCCUGGUGUGGUUUGCAGGUAGGAUGGAUGUUCACUGUUUGACCGGGUGGGGUAUCCUUCCUCUCUGCAGUCUCCUUCCCAGUAUGCGUAAACACCCUUAUAGUUCUAAUUGUGUUGAUAUUUCUGUUCUUUCUGAAUUGAGAGAAAAUCCCAUUCGUUGUCUGCAGAUUUGGAAGUUUGAUGAGGAAUUUGGUUCUUGAAACAUCUGUCUUUUUUUUUUUUUUUGAGACAGAGUAUCUCUCUGUUGCCCAGGCUGCAGUGCAGUGGCGCGAUCUCAGCUCCCUGCAACCUCCACCUCCUGGGUUCAAGCAAUUCUCUGCCUCAGCCUCCUGAGUAGCUGGGAUUCCAGGCACCCGCCACCACGCCUGGCUUAUUUUUGUAUUUUUAGUAGAGAUGGGGUUUCACCAUCUUGGCCAGGCUGGUCUUGAACUCCUGAUCUCAUGAUCCACCCGCCUCAGCUUCCCAAAGUGCUGGGAUUACAGGUGUGAGCCACCCUGCCUGGCCAAAACAUUUGUCAUCUUUAUAAAUGGUCAGAAUAGAAAAGUUAGCUCUGCCAGUAUCUUCAAUUACUUAUUACAAGAAUGUCUUUCAUCAUCUUACUUGGAGCAUUUUCCAAUGACUGGCUCUUGAGAGCCCCAGGCAGGGCCCCGAGCAAGUUUUUCUAAGUGCCAAGGCCAGCAAAGUCUGAACUGGCCGCACUCAUUAAGUCCCUCAUUUGGCAAAACAAAACAGGGCCUGGGGCACCCCUGGUUCCUGGCCUUAUAGGUCAGUCAACUGGCUGAGAAAUGGUCAAGAAAAGAAACAAUGACCCUUCUGUGGAUGUGAGUGGAUGAUGGACUCUGGCCUGUGUCUACUCUCCUGAUGUGUAGCCCACCAACAGUAAUAGAAGUAGAGGGUAGGGGGUUUUGCCAAGGCUAAGGCUUCAGGUACUUGCUAACAGUUAUAGCAGCUGGGUCACUGUCAUCUGGACUUACCAGUUCAUGCCAGUGUCCCUGUGACUUAUGCAUAGUGUGCGCCACAGCCCUCUAGAGGUACCUGGAGCCCGGACUGCCAGGCUGGAGGCUCUGGGGUACUGAAGGUGAGCUGUCUGGGCAAACUAUUAAGAACAAGACGAACUGUUCACAAUGGAGCUUCUCCCACAGAUGGGGAGCUCUGUGAGGCCUUCACCUGGGUGCAUGUUGGACUUCCAUUGCUGUUGCUGUUGUCCCUAGACAAGCCCGUUAGCAAGAAGCACCGGCAGGGGAGCCAUGCACUCCAUAGGCUUGGGAUCACCCCCGGGAAAGCGAUCUUCCCCGGGCUACCACCCCCAGCUGCAGUUCUGUGUUAGUGCAUCCUUCAAAGCUAGGAGAAUUCUAGGGUGACCAGUGAGCUAAUGUUGAGUGAGCAGGUAUUGACUUGAACACACUGCAGGCCUUUGGCUGUCUCAUGCUGUCCUUACUCUUCUUGGGAACAGUGAGUCACUCAGCUGGCCAGGGUGGGGAUGCAUCCUGGUGAAGAGACAGCUUUCCCUGAAGAUGCUACAGAAAGUUACUGUCAGAUUUCAUUUGUUUCUGUUUCCUGAGAUCAACUAACAGAAGAAUCUAAUGGUGAGAGUGUCUUCAUUCAUGUUUUACGUUUUAUCAAGGCACACUGGAAAGGGAAUUAUGUGGCUGACUUCCCUUGGCCUUCCCAAGAGAAGAUUCUGUUCUUAUGUCAGUGUGGCUUCUGGAAGUGUCUCCUAUCCUCCCAUCCUCCAGGCCUGUGGUGUGACUUCUGCCCCGAAGUUCCUACUAUAGUGAGUCAUCUGGGGAGAGGCCACUGAAAAGAGGCCUUCCCUUCCCAUUUCCUCCCCUGCCUCCUUAGAACACACUCUAAGUCAGAACUUAAUCUAAGAAGAAGGAAGCUGGACCAGGAACCUUGGAAGUCAGCCAGCCCUAGAACAGUCAGCCUAAAUUUUGGCCGUAAUGGCUUUUUUGGUUUUUUGUUUUGUUUCUGAGAUGGAGUCUCACUCCGUUGCCAGGCUGGAGUGCUGUGGCGCUAUCUCAGCUUACCGAAUCCUCCGACUCCCUGGUUCAAGCGAUUGUCCUGCCUCAGCCUCCGGAGUAGCUGGGAUUACAGGCAUGCACCACCACACCCAGCUAAUUUUUGUAUUUUUAGUAGAGACGGGGUUUCACCGUGUUGUCCAGGAUGGUCUCCAUCUCCUGACCUCAUGAUGUGCCCACUUCGGCCUUCCAAAGUGGCCGCAAAGUGGCCCACUUCGGCCAAAGUGCACUUCGGCCUUCCAAAGUGCAUUACAGGCGUGAGCCACCACGCCCGGCCUGGCCUUUUUUUUUUUUUUCUUUUGAGACACAGUUUCACUCGUUGCCCAGGCUGGAGUGCAGUGGCGCAAUCUCGGCUCACUGCAACUUCUGCCUCCUAGGUUCAAGCAGUUCUCCUGCCUCAGCCUCCCAAGUAGUUGGGAUUACGGGCAUGCACCACCAUGCCUGGAUAAUUUUUUCUUAUUUUUAGUAGAGACAGGAUUUCAUCAUGUUGGCCACGCUGGUUUCGAACUCCUGACCACAUGUGGUCCACCCACCUUGGCCUCAAUUAUGUGCAUUUUGGUAUAUUUACUUGUAUUUCAACAUCUUGUGAGUUUGAAAAACCUGAAAGGCCAGAAUGCUUCCUUUUAUUUCUCACCAUUUGGGCAGCACCUAAGUGGUUUUGUAAAAUGCAGCAUCUGGUGCUGUGGGUCUCUCUCAGGCCUUGAGGGACACUUCCUUCCUCCCCACUCGCCUCCUCUCCACUAGACUUUGGUUCCUAGAGGGCGUGGGGCCGGGUCUGAGGUUCUUGCCUGCCUUCCCUCCCAUUGGUCUUUGGUUGCUCAUCCCUCUAACUGCACCCCUUCUUGGUCCUUCCUCCACAGACUUCAGAUAAUAGAUAAGUCAUUAGCAAACCAGACCGAAUCUUUAGGGUGAAGAGCUCCCCAAAGCCAUCUGGUGAGGUCAUUGUGGGGACCAGGGACUGAUUAUUUGUCACCUGGAUCACAAAGAUGGGACUGUCUGCUCAGGCUGGUGGUGACAGGAUCCUGACCCGUGGUCCUCUCCCGCUCCCUCUGCUCCACCAGGACACAUGUAUAGGACACUGUGCUGUGUGCAGUGGAGAAAUCUCCCUGGGCCAGGGGAAAGUUCAGACAGUGCCUCUAGAUUGUGUUUUGCCUCCUCCAAUGUAGAGUUGACAUCUGGACCCCAGAGCCCAGCAGGGCUUUCUGUCAGACAUGCUAGGGUGGUAGAAAUGGGCCCUCCAGGUCCCCCUGCAGUGCACUGGGCAGAGACCUCCGGAAAGCCGGCAGCGGGAGCGCUUCCUGGGCAGCUUCCCCCAGCACAGUGUUCCCAAACCAGUCCAUCCGGAAAACAGUCUGUACAGCAAAUGCUGUGUGAGAUCUUAGGCUUUUCACUUUUUUUGUUUUGUUUUGUUUUUGAAAGAAAGAAAAAAAUACAAUUAACAAGCCUCUUUUGUAAAUGGGUUUCCUUUCUAUGUAUAAAAUCGUGGUGGUCCCUUGUUUUUACAUGUUCAUGCUGUGUAAUUUUGAGAUGUUACUGAGAUAUGUUCUGAACAUAAUGUGCAUUUUUUUCUGUACAGAUGAAAUGGGAGAAUUUAAUAAAGAGUUUGCAGGUU